rnacentral:rRNA from 1 species
CCUACGGGUGGCUGCAGUAGGGAAUCUUCCUCAAUGGGCGAAACCCUGAAGCAGCAACGCCGCGUGGAGGAUGAAGGUUUUCGGAUCGUAAACUCCUUUUGUUAGAGAAGAUUAUGCCGGUGUGUAACGAAUCAGCAUCCGCUAACUUCGUGCCAGCAGCCGCGGUCAUACGGAGGGGCAGAGCGUUACUCGGUAUUAAUGGGCGUAAAGUGUGCGUAGGCGGGGUUAUAAGUAAGAUGUGAAAUCCUUGUGCUUAACCGCAGUAGUGCAUUUGAAACUGGGACUCUGGAGUGCGGGAGAGGAGAGUGGAAGUCUAUGUGUAGCGGUAAAAUGCGUAGAUAUCAGGAAGAAUACCAGUGGCGAAGGCGACCCGCUGG